rnacentral:rRNA from 1 species
AUUGAACGCUGGCGGCAGGCCUAACACAUGCAAGUCGAACGGUAACAGGAAACAGCUUGCUGUUUCGCUGACGAGUGGCGGACGGGUGAGUAAUGUCUGGGAAACUGCCUGAUGGAGGGGGAUAACUACUGGAAACGGUAGCUAAUUCCGCAUAACGUCGCAAGACCAAAGAGGGGGACCCUCGGGCCUCUUGCCAUCGGAUGUGCCCAGAUGGGAUUAGCUUGUUGGUGGGGUAACGGCUCACCAAGGCGACGAUCCCUAGCUGGUCUGAGAGGAUGACCAGCCACACUGGAACUGAGACACGGUCCAGACUCCUACGGGAGGCAGCAGUGGGGAAUAUUGCACAAAGGGCGCAAGCCUGAUGCAGCCAUGCCGCGUGUAUGAAGAAGGCCUUCGGGUUGUAAAGUACUUUCAGCGGGGAGGAAGGGAGUAAAGUUAAUACCUUUGCUCAUUGACGUUACCCGCAGAAGAAGCACCGGCUAACUCCGUG